CCAGCGAACAGCCUCCAUCGUUACCUUAUUUUCUCCUCUGCCUCCCGCGAACCCUCGCCGCCGCCACCAACGCCGGGCGAUUCCGGCUACUUCCGGCGGCCCUCGCCGGAGCGCAUCACACCCACGAGCUCUCCUCUCGACGGUUCUUCCUUCCCUCUAGCAAAAUUCGCUCCUCGCGGCAGCAAGCGCUCGCGCGCGACCCCUCCCUGCGGCUAGGGUUUCGGCUGCGUCCAACUCCAGCGCGGGAAGUUGCUGCUAUGAUCUUCUUUGUUUCUCCUUGCUAAUUGAUUCUUUGGAGCACAUGCUAUUUCCUAAUCAGGUUUGCUACUUAAUUCUCAAAAAAAUCAUGCGUUCGCAUCACCAUCCUAUGGAACCACGAAGCCGGAUCCAAUGAUUUCAGAGAACAUUUACUAUGUUUAUGGAUCACUACAUGUGAUCUGCUAGAACAAGCUACCGAAGCACCAGAACUGCUCUCUUUGAUGGCAUUGAAGAAGGUGGAAUACGAGCACCAGCUUAUUCUUCACAUGAGAUAGAUGAACAUGAGAAUGAGCGAGCUAUGGAUCGAUUGUAGGGAUCGAGUCAGCAUUCUCAAGAGGAGGUGAUCGACGCUGACUAGCGCGGCUGGUAAAGGGUGCAAUGUUGGUAAUACAUCUGCUGUUGCUGAUGCCUUCUUGCUUGCUUGCUUGCGAAUGACCUGGGAAUUAUUUCUACUUGGUGCACAGCCUUUGCUUGUUGCAAUUUGCCUCAAAAGCUUGUAUUCAGAAUCUAUAACAAGAUUUCGUACUGCCUUGGAAUUCCUUAUCUCCUUUUACUUGUGGUCAUGCCUAGCACUAUCUUGGUUCAUUGUUUAAUUCCAGGAUUUGUGAGUUCCUAGUAGGGAACACAUGGACACGAAGCUGCGGCGGCGACGACGAUGAUAUCAACAUGGGGCUGCAGCGGCGACGAUGACGACGACGAGAUCGACAUCGACAUGGGGCUGCGGCGGCCACGACGACGACGGCAUCCUCACGGUGCUGCGGCGGCGAUGAUGACGACAUCAACACCAUCAAACACGGGCUUGUGGAGGCGCCGGCGACGAUGACCUAUAGGCGUGGUGUAUAUUGUAUAUGUAUGUAUGUAUACAUAUAGGCGAUGAUGACCUACUGGUAUGCAAAAAACCCACGCUACUGUAGUGUUUUUUCUA